ensembl:sense_intronic
UUUCUUGUGCUGUGGGGAAGAGACUUCAGGACAACUGGUAUGAAAGAUACCAGAGUUGGAGAUUGGGAAUUUAAUCCUGGGUCAUCUUGUAGACCUCAUCUACUCACAGAAAACUUUCAGUGUGUAGAACUUUUCAAGUCUGUACUCAAAAGAAGAAAUACCUAUGAAAGAAAAUUAAAACCAUGAGUCAUUGCUGAAUUUAAAGAUGGCUAGAGUGCUUUCUCUGAUCUUCUGAUGGUUUCUGUGUUGUGCCUCCCUCAGAGUGAUAUUGCAUCCUCUGUACGUAGAUAAGCACAGUGUCUACAUUCUACUGGCUGGUUACAGAAUGAAAUGCACACACUACUGGACAGCAUGCUGUGAAGACCAGUCUUUGAACAACAUUCAUCUCUUGUACUCACUAUUAUUCAGUUGUAGGUGAGGCGGGUCCAAGUCUUUUUACUUUUUAAAUAAAUUGUCAUUUAAACCCCGA